CCAAACUAUACCUUUUUGGAAUAUUAAUGUUCAGACAAAUAAUGUGGUAUAAUUUUCAAUAUGACUUGAACAUUUUAAAAUUUUGACCACUGUGUAAUUCUUCAACUGACCCCUAUCUGGCUGCUUAUUGACAAUUCAAGUGAAUACUCAGUUUUUUCACAAGAGUAAUAUUUAAGGAGUAUGUGUGCCAAUUUUGGUGCUUAGAUGACCAUUUGAAGA